AUGACGCACCAGCACCGAAGCCUGACGCCCAGUGGGCUUUCCCGGGGGGUAGGCCCCAGGGUCCUCCAUGGUGAGAUAAAUGACACAGCCAGUCCUCCCGGCCUCAGCGAAGAAGUCCUAGGGAUGUGUUACUCGGAUGCAGCUAUGCCUCAGAGGAUGCGCGAGCUUGGCCAUCAACAUGCAGCAAGCACACCAGUUUAUCCCUUCUGCACUCUCAGCAGAGCCUGAUUUUAAAAAUCACUAAAAGGAAACCCGAAUCACCUGAAGUUUCUACAAGGUAAAUAAUUCAUGCUCAGACCACAGUUGCUUUCCAGAGGGACAGAUUCCACUGCCUGAACUUGCCUUCCACUGGCUUUAGGUGGCCUCCCAGCUGCCUGCAGAAGGAUAGAGCGUGUCACUGGGAUGUGCACAGGACAAGGAACUGGGGUUUCCUGUUGAUGCGAGUCGAUAACAGCAAUAAUGAUCCCCCCAGAGCCCUUGCCCAGGUCAGCAGGAGGCAGCAGUGCGGCGAGUCCAGGAUCAUAAAAACAGCCUGGCUCCAUCAGCUGCCAGCUGUGUGACCUUGAGCAAGUCACUUCACCUCUCCAGCCUCAGCUUCCUCAUCUGUGAAGUGAGAAUAAUAAGCACACCGAUCUCAUAAGCUUAUUGUGAGGAUUAAAUGAAUUAGUAUAUGUAAAGUACUUAGAACAAUACCUAGAAUCAGGUAAACAUCCAAUAAAUGGUAGCUAUUAUUUAUAGUAAUAAUAAUA
rnacentral:lncRNA from 1 species